GCACUUGGCUAAGUGGUUACAGCGUGGCACUUGUAUAAAUAGCUCCUCAGAGAGUUAGGAGACAUGCCGAGAUCACUCGUUCAACUCGAGUAGUGGGCA